rnacentral:rRNA from 1 species
UGGUGGAGUGAUUUGUCUGGUUAAUUCCGUUAACGAACGAGACCUCAGGUGAGUAGUUCAGUCGGUGCAGAGUGUUACACUCCACACCACUGUCACCACUCCGACACUCGGUGUUCUGGAGCCGAGGGAAGAUCGAGGCAAUAACA